GGACCCGCACAAGUAGUGGAGCAUGUGGUUUAAUUCGAAGAUACGCGCAGAACCUUACCAACACUUGACAUGUUCGUCGCGACUUUAAGAGAUUAAAGUUUUCGGUUCGGCCGGACGAAACACAGGUGCUGCAUGGCUGUCGUCAGCUCGUGUCGUGAGAUGUUGGGUUAAGUCCCGCAACGAGCGCAACCCACGUCUUUAGUUGCCAGCAUUUAGUUGGGCACUCUAGAGAGACUGCCGGUGAUAAACCGGAGGAAGGUUGGGAUGACGUCAAGUCCUCAUGGCCCUUACGUGUUGGGCUACACACGUGCUACAAUGGCAGUGACAAUGAGAUGCUAAACGGCGACGUUAAGCUAAACUCAAAAACCUGCCUCAGUUCGGAUUGCACUCUGCAACUCGAGUGCAUGAAGCUGGAAUCGCUAGUAAUCGC
rnacentral:rRNA from 1 species